rnacentral:rRNA from 1 species
CCUACGGGGGGCAGCAGUGGGGAAUAUUGGACAAUGGGGGGAACCCUGAUCCAGCCAUGCCGCGUGUGUGAAGAAGGCCCUCGGGUUGUAAAGCACUUUCAGUGAGGAAGAACGCCUGGUGGUUAAUACCCAUCAGGAAAGACAUCACUCACAGAAGAAGCACCGGCUAACUCCGUGCCAGCAGCCGCGGUAAUACGGAGGGUGCGAGCGUUAAUCGGAAUUACUGGGCGUAAAGCGCGCGUAGGUGGCUUGAUAAGCCGGUUGUGAAAGCCCCGGGCUCAACCUGGGAACGGCAGCCGGAACUGUCAAGCUAGAGUGCAGGAGAGGAAGGUAGAAUUCCCGGUGUAGCGGUGAAAUGCGUAGAGAUCGGGAGGAAUACCAGUGGCGAAGGCGGCCUUCUGGACUGACACUGACACUGAGGUGCGAAAGCGUGGGUAGCAAACAGGAUUAGAUACCCUAGUAGUC